rnacentral:rRNA from 1 species
UACGUAGGGCGCAAGCGUUAUCCGGAAUUAUUGGGCGUAAAGAGCUCGUAGGCGGUUUGUCGCGUCUGCCGUGAAAGUCCGGGGCUCAACUCCGGAUCUGCGGUGGGUACGGGCAGACUAGAGUGAUGUAGGGGAGACUGGAAUUCCUGGUGUAGCGGUGAAAUGCGCAGAUAUCAGGAGGAACACCGAUGGCGAAGGCAGGUCUCUGGGCAUUAACUGACGCUGAGGAGCGAAAGCAUGGGGAGCGAACUGG